rnacentral:lncRNA from 10 species
CACUGCACCCGGCCCGAUUGGGCAUUUGUAACCACAAAUGUCAUAACACACUGUCCUGAGCAGGAGGAAACCAGUGUUCCAUAGACUCUCAGCUUAUGUAGCAUUUUAAAAUAUAUCAUUUCUUGUGAUACUCACAAACCUGCUCUCACAGUUACUUGGCUAGUAAAUAGUGAAUCAAGUGCCUCUUCCUCUUACUUUCAGCAGCAAACCCCUUUUUUCAAAGGUAACUGCAUCAGUAAAAGGUUUACGGUGUCUUUUGCCAGGAUAAAUUCUUGAGUUCACAUUUAUAACAUUUACUGAAUAUAAAGUAACUCAAUGAGAACAAUGAGGCUGUUUUGAAAAACAAUAUUAGAGUUACGAAAGAGUUCCAAUCUUAUAUUCAGAGUCUACAUUCGAUUUCUCCAUUUUGCUUGUCUGUUUUUAUUACCACUUUAAACAUGGAAUUUGAAUCUAAUAUUUACAAAAUCACAGAAGCACCUCAUAGAAUUCUACAUAUUUCUGUUUGAAAAUCACUGCUCUGGAGUGCUUUCCUUGCUAUAGCAUCCACUUUAUAAUGUGACCUUGGAUAAGUCAUAUGUUCUCUCAGCCUCAUUUUCCUCACCUGUAAAACAGGGAGAUUAUAGUCCAGCUGUUUGGGUCUCAGACCUUUUGAGAAUGUGUUGGAAGCUACAGAGCUUCGUCUGAAAACUGCACAUAGUGUGCACAACACAAAUUUGGAUGCUUUGGGGGUACACUGGCCCCACUCCCAAACCUAUCCAAAGACUUAAGAAAUCCUGGGCUAGAUCAUGUCUAAGAUCCAACUACACAGCUAUGCAGUUACCUGAAGAGUUUUUACUUUAUAGGAACCAAGAAGAAGGCAAAAGGAACCACGGUUGAAUGCCAGCACUGUGCAAGACACUUUACACAGCUUUUUUCAUGUCCAUGCAUAAUCUCAUUUGGCUGUGUUGACCAGGCCACAGGAAAAUCUCCGGGGAUAUUAGUGAUGAUCUCUUCCUGUGAUGUUGUUAACAUCAGGUCUACAGCAGACCCAGGCUCAGAUCAAGCUAGGAUUUGCCUAAACCAGUCACACUGGCUAAUAGGAUACAGCCCCUUUCAAUCUACCCUGUAGCCAGAAGAGUUUAGUGAGAAAGGAAAUUGAAGCCGCUGUUAAAACUGUGGUUUUACAAUAAACUCUAGAAACAUAGUAAUCAUAAUGCAGGCUGCAAAUCUUCCCUAAAAGAUUCCGGGGGAAAAUGACUGGAAAUUGAACAGUCUGAAAAUUAAUUACUGGAUGCCACAGAACUGUAAGGAGCCAUUACUUUUAAUUUUCCGCAUCUGGCCCCCAGAAGUCUCCAACAAAAUGGCGGUCUACCCAGCAUCCAUUUAUCUCCUCCCUCCUUCCUAGGAGCCAUGACUUUGUUCAGAUACCUCCCCCUGAGCGCUCUGACCUCAGGAGAAGAAUUCACCCCCACCUGCUAGGAUGAACCUAACUGGCCUAUGAAUAAUUCCAUCCUUCUAGCCCAUGAUUCCAUCAGGAAUGAUUAUGUGACCCAAUAUGGAUUCUUGAGACCUGAGGAAAGGUUUUCCGUGGUCUUGGGAGCAGUUCCUCCUCCCUUUUCUGAAAACUUUUCUAGAAACAGUCCUCUUUUCCUCUGGGCAUUGCUGUUCAUGGGUGUGGAGCAACCAGAACACCUACAGAUAUUUUACUACCAGACUAGCAAGGGCCAAGAGAAUGAGCAGGAAACUCAGGCCCACUACGUUUAGUCAACCAUGAAGUCCCCCUCAACUCUGAACUGAUUAUGUAUGAGAGCACAUAAGUGUGCUUACAGUUUAAUUUGGUUUGAGUUAGCCCUCCACUGCUUACAGCCAAAAACAUCCUUUCUGAUCCACAGUACAUUGGGCCUUUGCCUCCGUGGUUGAAUACUAGGUUCUGCUGUGGCCUAGGUGCUUUCAUUAUUUUUAACCAUUUUCGAGCACUUACUAUAGGCCAGACAUUGUGCUAAGCAUUACCUCCCUUAAUCCUCAUGAGAAUUCUAAGUGGGGUGACACUGUUCUUAUUCUCAUUUUUCAGCUAAGGAAAUGGCAAAGAACUUAAGAUCACACUGCUAAUGAGUGGUAGAGCUAGAUUUGAACUGAGGUCUGACUCCAAAAGCCAGCUAUUAGCCACUGUAUUAUACCACCUCCAGCUAGGUAUUAAUACAACAUUACCAUUUUGCAGGUGGGUAACUUGAGGCUCCAAAAGUUUAAGUAUUAUAUCUAUAAUGCCUUGCACAAAGUAAGUACAAAAUAUCUGUUCAACUGAAUUGCCCAAGAUUGGACACAAGAUCCAAGCCUAGCGUUGUCCCUCUGGCAUCUGUCUCAUUAUUUCACGAUGAUUUUUCCAUUGUAGGAGACGAUGACGUCUGCAACUUUAGAAAGAUAAAAUGUGCGGUUGAAGUGAUAGUGCUCCUGAUUGGCUUUUCUGCCUUUGAGAGAAAAAUAAGAAGGCAGCAUCUCAGUGGCCCCAGGCUAUUUUCUUUCUCAGAGCAUUGCACAACUCUCUUUUGAGGCCACAGCCAUACCCUUGAAUGCUGGUAUAAACUGAAAUGAAGAAUUAAUGGGCAGGUCUACCUGAAAUUUUACCUCCCACUAAUUUCUAGGAAGUAAGCUAGCUCUGUCUAGACAGGCCUCUACCUGCCUCUCGUGAAAGCCCUAGAAGCUUUGGGUGGUAAAUGCCACUUCUGUACCAGGACUUUGUCAAGUUGAUUGCUUUGACCAUGAAAGCAAACCUUUGGGGGUAGGCAAGGCAAGCGUUAUGGGAUCAAGUCCAAACCCUUGGUAUGGCAUUCAAAGCCCCAGCCUGCUUCUCAGCUCAGAGGCCUGCCACUCCAGGCUGCUGUCUGUCCCUGAGCACGCUGUUCCCCUCACAGCCCCCUGCCUGUACUAGCUGCACCCUCUGCCUGAAAGUGACUUCAUCUUCCCUCCACGUUUCAUCCAGAAAAUUUCUUCUCCACUACCCUCGACACUUCUGCGAUGAAUCAGAAUCUCUGGAGGAAUGGCCCUUGGGGAAUCCAUGCUUUUAAAAAGUUCCCUGGGCAAUUUGGGUGAUCAGCCAGCUUUGGAGACAACAGUGUAAACACACACACACACACACACACACACACACACACACACACACACACAAACACACAGCCUGCCCAUCAUUUAAGCCCUCAUGCUGGUUUCUGUUCUUUUACAGUCAUAUGCUUGCGAGCUUUCACAUCAUAACUCAAUGGGGAUGGAGUGGUGGUGGGAGGUGACACAGAACAAGACGGGGGGAAAACAAGGUGAGAAGAGACCAAAAGGACAGAGCGGGAGGACUGGGGAAUGUCCUCCAGCAGGUUUCUUGGACUGGUUUAGUCUCCCAGGAGAAAAGAUUAUGAAACAACAUAGAAAUAUCCAAGAGGGACUGUGUGACAUGCUGAGCAUGAGUGGAGAGUCAGGACCCAGGGGACCAAGAAGGCACAGAAGAGUCCCUUUCCCAUACCCUGAAGACCGCAAACUUUGAGAGCAUCCGGGGGCAGCUCUUGUGCUGGCAGCUGCUGCAGUUAUUUCUCCACAUAGCUUUGGGGCAGCAGAAUGAAUCUGUGGGAAACAGAGGCAGCAGGGAAGGUCCAAGCAGCUGCUACAGGAUGUGGCAGCUAUGAGGAUGCACCCUGCCCGCUUUCUACUGCAGGGCAUAUAAUUGAUAAGGGCUCCGACUGCUGGCUUUGAACUUCAUCCCACAUGUGUCCCAAGGCCAGGCCUCCCAAAGACUGAGUGCAGGGGGCAGAUAAGGCACGCCUGCUUACAAGAGACACACAAUUCCUUUGCUGGCUGACUUUGACUCUGGCUCAAGAACACUUUGAAUUGAACAGAUGCUCAUGUUCAUAGCAGCCUUAUGCACAAUAGCCAAAAGGCACAAAUAACAAAGAGUCCAUUGAUGGCUGAAUAAACCAGAUGUGGUAUAGACAUGCAGUAGAAUAUUACUCAGCCACAAAAAGGAGUGAAAAGUUGAUAUAUGCUACAACACAGAUGAGUCUUGAAAACAUUCUGCUAAGUGAAAUAAGCCACACACAGAGGACAAAUGUUGUAUGAUUCCACUUAUAUGAGGUCCCUGGAAUAGUCAAAUUCUGAGACUGAAAGUAAAAUACAGGUUACCAGGGGCUGGCGAAUAGGGAAGAAUGGGGAAUUGGUAUUUAAUGGGCAGAGCAUUUAUAUUGGGGAUUAUCAAAAAGUUUUGGGUACAGAGAGUGGUGAUGGCUACAUAACACUGUAUAUGCAAUGUUACUGAAAUACAUACAAGUGGUUAAAAUAAAUACUGUGUUACGUACAGUUUGCCACAAUAAAAAACAACAAAAAUGGGACUAUACCAUUAAAUUUAAAAAGAACACUGAAUUUGGCUUUGGGACUGCCGACAAGCUUUGCCAAAUCUUCCUGGAUUAAAUAAAUGACCACUAAGACACUUCCGCACAACCUUCUCUCCCUUUUUUCUCCACCUAGGGUCAGACUUGCGUCGAGGGUCUGAUGGCUCUCCCAGUCUUCCUUGGUUCCCCACCUAUUUCCUUUCUUUUGAGACAGAAUCUCGCUCUGU